GCUUGAUGAAGUUGUUGUUGCUUACCCUAAUGCCUUUGUCCGUAUCAUCGGAUUCGACAACGUUCGUCAAGUUCAAUGCAUCAGUUUCAUUGCACACACACCUGCGGUCUACUAAAUUUGAGUGUUAAAUCACUCUCAGCUGCCAUUGGAAGAACAUCUUUUUCUCUCAAUUUGUUCUGAUUGUAAUGUCUUCCUUUGUUUUUUGGUUUUCGCUUUCGGAUUUCAAAAUGCAAAUGUAUGGAUAAGAGUUAAUAAAUGAAAUGGUACCUUUUUCAUUCUCAAGUUAGUAGUAUAUGUUGUUUUCCUUGUAAUGGCUUGAACUUGAAACUUUAAAUAACAAAGGAACUAAUAGUAUGAUAUUAAAGAAAAAAAAAUUGCAUUUCCACCUAAUUCAUUCUCAUCUUUACCAAAAUUAUGCACAAUCAGUACAUCUUUGCAAGAAAUAUUUUUGACAGAAAUUAUGAACUGAAUAUCGCUGGCGCUCCAAAAAGCAAUCCGCGGUCUCAAACUCAUCUUCAUACGCUAAAUUUUAGGCCUUAGCUUUUACUGGUUGGGAAUUGCAAUUCCUUGCAUACCUUCAGCAUGAUUUCCAUUUAUUUUUUAUUUUCUAAUCUUCCUCAUGCAGUAACAGCCAAUUCACUCACUAUAUGGCAGCCAAUUCCAUCUUUUACGAAUGGAAAAAAUACAUUGAAAUUGACCGUCACAUUGUUAUGGAAAAAGUUUCAACCGCAGUUUUUGCAAUGUCGACUGCCUAUUUCCGCAGUCGAUCAAGUGGCAGACCUGCUCACAAAACAUCUUGAACCUACCCACUUUAAUUGUCUACUUGCCUACCUGAAAGUUCUAAAUAUACAAUACUCAUAUAUUAGUAACUAAAUGAAGGGACUAAAUUGUUAGUGCAAGAUGUGUUUCUUGCACUCCUAGGAACUAAAUGAAGGGACUAAAUUUGAAAGAAACACUAUGAGUGAAUUAUAUUGAUUAUGAAAACUGAAUGAAUGAAUACAUGGGAUACAAUUACAAGUAUUUAAAGACUUUUCUAAUUACUUGAAUCACAAGUAAACUAACAAAUACAAACCAACUUGUUAGUUACUAACCACCAACUUCUCUAACAAACUAGUUGUAACUAACUACUACUUUGUAGUUGAAUUAAUCCACAACAAUAAUACCUUAGCUAAAACUUUAGCUUAAACAAUGCAAGGCAUUCUAUAUUGGUGAUUUUAUUCAUGAGUAAAGUGGACAUAUUUCAAAAAGUAAAAGGAAAUGAUACUAAGAGCCAAAACCAGCUAUAACUUAUAGAAGUGUACAUGUUUUAAUUUUUCAAUAAAUCCUAGAAAAAGUGAGAGAUUCUUGAAGAUUAUAAAUAAUGCUGAAGAUAAAUAGAUCAGAAAUUAAUAUAACCUAAUAAACAAGACUUAAAACUUCAAGGUAACGUCUAUCCGGUAAUGGUCUUGAGCAAGUUCAGAUGGUGCGACGACAUGCACCUAUUUUUUAAGGGCACCAAUAAUCUCUUAUUAAUUUUUUAGUCCUAUGAUAAAAGACGUUGUAUGUAAAGGUUGGGGACAGUAAUCGAUUAAAUUAAGUUGUCCUGCUUUAAUUUCUAAUUUUUUUUUAAGAAUGUUUCGAGAGAUGCUAGUAUCGAACCGAGUACCACAAAGUUGAGAGGUGAUUUUCCAAUCAAGUGAUCUCUCUUUUUACUGGCAUUUUUUCUAAGAAUGUUGAUUGUGAAGUGAUGGAUGAUCAAUAAUUUUGCAGAUAUAAAUGCAAAGAUGAUAAAUUUAAAUGAUUUCGAAGAAAAAAAUUUCUCGGAUCAUAUAGAGCAUCCAAAAUCUCAAGGACAACCCUACUUCCACUAUUAAGUUCUUCUUACUUAUCAUAGUCCACCUUUCAUAACUUUGGAAAAAAAAAUAAAGGAAAAGAAUGAAGUUGUAAUUUUAUUGCAUUUUUUAUGGACCUAUACAACCAUUUUUAAGGGAGAAUAAGUGCCAUUCUUUUGGUUGUUCCAAAUGUAAGUAUCUUCCACGGUAUAAUUGAAAUUGGCGUGGAUGUGAUUUAUGUGGUCAGAGGUCGUAUGAGAUGACUGGGUAUAGAGAAUAUGCGUGUGAGGAUCAUUAGCCGAGAGAACAUAUUUAACCGUAAGCUGAAUGUCAUGAAUAUCUAUAUAAGGAACAAGAGACCCAAGAAUUCCAAGAGUUGUCCAUUGACUAAACCAAAAGGAUGAAGACCCAGACUCAGCACGCCAGACAUAUCAUGCUUUAAGAACAUUUUUAGCUUUGAUGAUGGAGGACGAAGUGGGAGAGCCGUUGGGGCUAUCAGUUGCUUGAGAGGAGGUUUGCCAGAAGAUUGAAUCACGUCCAACACUAGCUUUCCUAAAAGGCAAGUAUUCGCCUCCCUAGCUGAUCUGAUUCCAAGGCCACCAAGAGAUUUAGGACGAGAAAUCUUUUUCCAACCUACUAAAUGAAUGCUUUUAUCAUUUGUACUUCUCUAAAUGAAAUUUCUAGUUGUUUGAUCAAUGUUUUCACAAAUGGAUUGAGGAAACCAACUAAUCUGCAUGUAAUAAGAUGGAAUGGAGGAAAUAAUAGAAGAAAGAAGAGUUAAUCUAUCAGGUUUAUUCAACAAUCUAUUAUUCCAGGAUACCAAUCUUGUUUGCAUUUUCUCAAUAAUAAAAUAGAAAUUAUUCCUUUUCACCCUUCCUUUCAGAAUAGAGAAGCCUAAAUACUUAUCAGGAGAAAUAGUGCUUCUAAUUCCUGAAAUAGAUGUCAGCUUGUUAAUCUUAACUUGAGGAAUGUUUGAGAAAUAGAAAGCUCUAGACUUGGACAAAUUAAUUUUCAAUCCUGAAGCAUGACUAAAGCGGUCAAAUAAAUUAGAAAAGACUCUUAGCUGAGAAUUUCUUGCCUUAGAAAAAAGGAGGUCGCCGUCCGCAAAAAGAAGAUGGGACAACUUCGGCCCUAAGUUGGUGAUGUGGAUGGGUUCCCAGUUUCCUCGGAGGACAACGUUGUUGAUGGAAAUUGAGUGUUUUUCCAUACAAAGAAUGAAAAGAUAUGGUGAGAGUGGAUCACCUUGUAUGAGGCCAUGAGUAGGCUUGAAGGGAGACAUCUUUUUCCCAUUCGAGAGGAUAGAGAAAGUGGAGGAGGCAACGCAAUGCAUGAUAAGAUUGGUUGUGAUAGUAGAGAAACUGAAAUCUUGAAGAGUACUCUUGAGGAAGUCCCAGUUGAAAAUAUCAAAAGAUUUCUCAAGAUCAAGUUUGAAAGCAGCAGAACCUUUUUAUUUUAGACCUUCUCAUAAAAUAAAAGAUUUCCUGCAAAACAAUGGCAUUGUCAGAAGUGCUUCUGCCUGGAAGAAAGUUGCUUUGGUAGAGACCAAUAAUAAUAUCAAGAAUCGGUCUUAAAAGAUGGAGUAAGACUUUAGUGAUAAUCUUGUAGACAAUAGUGCAGAGGCUGAUCAGUUUAAAAUGUUUAUAAGUGGUGGAAGGCCGAUUUGACAAGACUAAAAAUAUCGUCCCCAACUAUAUGCCAAUAUUGUUUGAAGAAAAUGCAUUGGAAAUCAUAUGGACCCGGCGCCUUAUAAGGCUUCAUGGAAUUCAGGGAUAUAACAACCUCCUCUUUAGUGAUUAAAAAUGAUAGAGUUCUCUCGGAGGUUAUUAUCAUUAUAUAUUAAAUUCAUAUAAUGGAGGUUGUACAUAACUGAUAAAUUUGAGAGAAUAAGAAUAUGAAAAGUGGCAAAUUUUUAAGAAAGGAUGAGGAGAUUUUUUAGAGAUGCCACACAGGAACAAUAGAAGUCUAAGGUUAAUCGAAGUUUAGAAUUCAAGAUAGUAUAGAAGAUAGAUAGAUAGAUGAUAGGUAACGAUUAUUUAUGGAAUUUUUUGAAAAAUACUCUCUAGAAAAACGAAAUACUUUUUAAUUUUGACCGAAAAAAAAUAAUACUUUUUAUUUACAUUUAUUUUAUACGAUUGAGUCAAACAAAAAUUUAUUCCAUGUUUUCUCGAUAGAUGUAUAUAUAGCACAAUUGAGGUCAUAUUCAUCUCAAACAAUAAUAGUUUUAAGCAAAAGAGUAGUGCUAUAUGUCCCGAUAAGAGAUAAAGUUCUAAGCAUGCAUUUUGGCGAAAUACAAGGGUGGGUGGCCAAUGAAAUAUCGUUGUGAGACAAUCACGAUGUAUGGUCUCGUGAUACUAAGCAAUUUCCAAUUCAAAAAUGGAGGUCUCACUCUACGAUAGAGUUUCAAUCAACCCUUUUCUCGAUUAAUGCAUUUCGAUUUUAGUUCAAAAUUAUUUGUUGUAGUCUUGAAUUGAUUUUUAAUUUUUUUUCUUCAGGUUUUACAUCAAAAAAUCUCACGGCGUUCGCUUCCUCCUCACUAGCUGAAAAGAAGAAGGUUAUGUUCAUAACGGGUACAAUUAACACUUGAAAAACUAUACUUUUCAUCUACUUAGGUACUCAUUUCCACUAUGAAACCAUCAAUUCAAAUAAAAUUCAAAUUUAUUAAGAUCUUGACUUGACACCAACUUGGUACCAUAAUUUGAACGUUGUUCGAUUUCACAUCACAUAUUAUGCAUCAUCAAUGAUACAUAUAUGAUUUCCCUAUGAUUAAUUUUUGCAAACACAUGCCUGAAACUCUAUAUUCAUAGCUGAAAAAUGGACAUCUAACCAUUAUUGUAGGAGGGUCACGUUCUUACAUUGAAAUAUUAGUUGAUGACCCAAUCAUUGAAUUUUGUUCAAAAUGUUAUUGUUGUUUCAAAAAUCAAUCACAAUGAAAUCAUAAUCCUAAUUAUUGCUGACGCCUAAUAUGUGAUGUCGAAUCGAACAAUGUUCAUACUCUAAUACCUUGUUGGCGAAAGGUCAAGACCCGUAUAGACUUGAAUUUUAUCUGAGUUGAUGAUUUCAAAGAGGAAUCAAGUACUUAGGUAGAUGAAAAAAAUUAUUUUUUCCAAUUCCAAUUGCUUUCGUUAUGAACAAAACCUUGUUCUUUUCGGCUAGUAUAUUGAGGAAAAAAAAGACAAGAUUUAUUUUAUUUUAUUUUUUAUGUAUAACCUAAGGAAAAGACAAUAAUACAAAUAAGGCUUAGACACACUUUUGACCCCCUAACUUUAAACUAGUUGCAAUCUUGACCCCCUAUUAAAAAAAAAACACAUUUCAGUCCCCUAAGUUUCCCCCUUUUUGCAACUUUCAAUUUUGAUCAUUCAAACUCAACCAUUUAGGACAAUAAAAAUAAGCGGGGUAUUUUGUUUAGCAAGUUUCAGGCGAUCUUGACCUUCUACCAUCUUGAAUGGUUGAUUUUUAAUGAUCAAAAUUAAAAGUUGUAAAAAGGGAAAACUUAAGGGACUCAAAUGUGUUUUUUUUUAAUAAGGGGACAUAAUUGCAACUAAUGUAAAGUUAGGGAGGCAAAAGUGCGUUUAAGUCUAAAAAUAAUUUAAAUAUACAACAAAUGAUUUUGAACUAGAAUUGAAAUGGAUUAAUCUUAUGCAUGUUGUCAAUAAGGAUACUAUGUAUAUGAAGAAGAGAAUCAAUUGAAACUUUAUUUGUGCUAUGUAUAAUGAUGUAUGAUAUAUGGAGAGAGGGACCACUAUAGGCGAGUUUGGAAUCAAUUUUGCAGAAGGUUCAUGGAGGGCGGGUUUAUCGUUGUAGGCGUGGUAGAGGUCUUAGGACUAUCCCGUAGUUUUAUGGUCUUGUAAUAGUAUUUUGAACAAAUUUGAUGUUUUUAAUUUGAUGUUUAAAUAUUUGUUUUGUAUCCUACAAAUAUUUUGUUUUUAAUAUUAUUUUUGAAAAUUGUGUUGUUUCUUAUCUUUUCAUUAUAAUAUUUUAUUUAUUCACAAAUGCAUGUUUAUAUCAAAUGAUUAUGUAAUCUGUAUGUAUUAGAGUGAAAACAAACUCUAUUUCUAUUCUAAUACCUUUCGGAUUAUAUAAUUCGAACAUUUUUAUGACAUUCAGAUUAUAUAAUCUUAAAUAUGCGUUUUUUUACACCACAAUUUCCCCUUCUGGGGUGUUUGCUGCAUUUUUCUAAGAAUGUUGAUUGUGAAGUGAUGGAUGAUCAAUAAUUUUGCAGAUAUAAAUGCAAAGAUGAUAAAUUUAAAUGAUUACGAAGAAAAGAAAAAAAAAAUCUCAGAUCAUAUAGAGCAUCCAAAAUCUCAAGGGAAACCCUACCUCCACUAUUAAGUUCUUCUUACUUUUCAUAUUCCACCUUUGAUAACCUAGGAAAUAAAAUAAAGGAAAAGAAUGAAGUUGUAAUUUUAUUGCAUUUUUUCUGGACCUAUACAACCACUAUAUGCUCACGUUCCUACUUAGAAAUUAAAAUUAAAUUGUUCUAAUUCAAUGUUAUAAUCAGAAAACUAGCUUUGAAGGAAGGAAAUGUCUUACUCGAUAUGACUUUGUCCACCGAAACUGACAUCAAGGGGGGAUCGAACGUGAAACUUUGAGAGAAACAAAUUCCAAGAUCACAAAUUAACCACAAGGUCAACCCCAAAUGAGUUUUUUUGGUUACCAUUAGAAAACCGUGUAUAUUUUAACAUAAUUUGGAUGAUUAAUUAUGUGUAGUAUAUGUGUAUUUAAACACUUAAAAAUGAUGGCUAAUUGUAUUCAUUUAAUGAUUAAUAGAUUGCUACCAAAUAUAAUUAACCACAUCUUUGCAGUUUGUUACACCCAAAAAACUAACCACAUAUUUGAACCAUGUUAACCAUCUAAUUGAUGUCAAAUUUGUUUGUCAAAGUAAUACAACUCAUCAUCGAUUUGUGAGUCUUGACAUUUUCUACAAAUAAAUGUAUACACAAACCGAUUGCUAUAAAUAUGAUACACUUAUUCUUUAUCCCUAUGAGGAGCCAAAGCCUGAAAAAAAAACUAGUACCAUACACGAUUGAUAUUUUUAGUUUUUUGGUCAAGUGGUUUAUAUUUAUGGAAGCAUUAAUAGUCACACAACUACACGUGGCAAUUUCAUAUUGGUGGCUAAAGAUAAGGCACCACAAAAAUUUCCAAUCUUGUUGUGUGGUUAAUGGCUGCAAUGUUUAUCAUUUUCACAAUCAAACAAAAUUGUAUUAUGCAGCAACCAGUUACCACAAUUUUUAGAACCAUAAUAUUGGAAAUACAAAAAUAAAGACAUUAUAUAUAGCAAGUUUGAGUAUAGGCUUUGAAAUUCAAGCAGAAGUAUAUCUUACAUUACUAGUGAACUAAGUAAGGGAGAAAAAAAAUGGCUUCCUCUAUGAUUUCCUCUUCAGCUAUGACUACAGUUAACCGCGCCUCUUCGGUACAAUCCGGCGCGGUGGCUCCAUUCGUUGGACUCAAGUCCAUGGCUGGCUUCCCAGUUACAAAGGUCAACAAGGACAUUACCUCUAUUACAAGCAAUGGUGGAAGAGUAAACUGCAUGCAGGUGAGAAAAAUAAUAGGCCUACUAUUUUAGUUUAUUAUUAGCAUAAUGGAAACAAUUUAUGACAUGUCUGUAAACUGUUUUCAUCUUAUAUUUUCAUAAGCUCUUCAGGAUAGUAGGAUAGUUUAUGAAAACAGCUUAUAGAUUAUAUGAAAAUAGCUUAUAGAUUCAUUGAGAAAUGCACACAAGUUUGUUAACCCUUUUGUUCAAUUUUAGGUGUGGCCUCCUAUUGGCAAGAAGAAGUUUGAGACACUUUCAUACCUUCCACCAUUGACCAGAGAACAAUUGGCCAAAGAAGUUGAAUACCUUAUAAGGAAGGGAUGGGUUGCUUGCUUGGAAUUCGAGACCGAGGUCUAGUUUUAAUUUAUUUUCAAUGCCUUUUCAAUGAACAUAUAUAUAGUUUUGAAUUUAGAUGGUUAAUUGGUUUGUCAUGGUUAAUCUACUUGCAGAAAGGAUUUGUGUACCGUGAGAACCACAGUUCACCAGGAUACUAUGACGGACGUUACUGGACAAUGUGGAAGUUGCCUUUGUUUGGAGCAACUGAUGCUUCUCAAGUGUUGAAGGAGCUUGAUGAAGUUGUUGUUGCUUACCCUAAUGCCUUUGUCCGUAUCAUCGGAUUCGACAACGUUCGUCAAGUUCAAUGCAUCAGUUUCAUUGCACACACACCUGAAGUUUACUAAGUUUGAGUAUUUAAUCACUCUCUGCUGCCACUGGAAGAACAUUUUUCGUUGUUUUUCGAUUUACGCUUUCGGAUUUCAAAUGCAAAUGUAUGGAUAAGAGUUAAUAAAUGAAAUGGUACUUUUAUUCAUUCUGAAAUUAGUAGGAUAUGUUGCUUACCUUGUAAUGUCUUGAACUUGAAAUUUUAACUAACAAAGGAACCAACAGUAUGAUAUUAAAGAAAGAUAAAUUACAUUUCCAGAUAAUUCUUUCUCAUUUUCACCAAAAUUAUGCACAAUCAGUACAUCUUUACAAGAAACUUUUUUGAGCAGAAAUUAUGAACUGCAUAUCGUUGACGCUCCAAAAAGCAAUCCACGGUCUCAAAGUUAUUUUCAUACGCUAAAUACUAGGUCUUCGCUUUUACCUUCUGAAUGACAGCCAAUUUACUCACUAUAUUGCAGCCAAUUCGAACUUUUAUGAAUGGACAAAAUACAUCGAAAUUGACCGUCAUAAUUUUAGGGAAAAAGUUUCAACCAAAGUUGUUGCGUGAUCUUACUGCCUAUUUCCGCAGUCGAUCAAGUGGUAGACUUGCUCACAAAACCUAUUGACCCUACGCCCUUUAAUUGUCCAGUCUUCAUCUGUUAGUAGAUAAUCCUUUUGUUUGGCUUUUCAAUCAUGUUUGUAUUUCCUAUUCUAUAACUUCCAUCAUGAAUAACAUUUUAAGUUCUUCACAUUUGAUAAUACCUUAGCUGAAAAAAUGUAAGGCUCUCUGCAUUGGUGAAAAUAUUUAAAAGAGUAAAUCAAAAUGAUACAAGAGCCAAAAACCAGAUUUUACUAUUCAGAGUUUGCUAUUUAUUUAUAGGGCAAUGCUAAACCGUGCCCCCAGAGGCAAUGGUUAAGCAUCCAAAACAAGAAAGUUUUCACAAAAAAAGUAAUGUAAUCGUUAUUUAGUCAAAAGUGAGACCUUAUGUUUCCAAGACAAAAUUUCUAUUCAUGGAUUCCUUAACCAAUGCCCAAGAAGCACUGGUUAACAAGACCCUUAUUUAUAACACUCCUUCUCAACUUAGUGAGUGGAUAUAAAUUAUUCCAAGCUUGCAAGUAAAAAGGUUGAAUCAUUCUGUCGGACAGAAAACUCUUUGUUAACACAUUUGUCUGUUGAUGCCCAAAAGGAACAUAAGCUGUAGUUGUCAGUUCUGUUGUGAAUUCGGUAACUUCAAAUCUUACACCAAUGAAAUUUAGAUUUGUGGUGAAGUAUCAAUGUAAACUAAUAACCACAAGCAACAACAACAAUUUUAGAUCUAAUCUAAAAACUAAGUGUAAAGCAAAACCACAAUCGAACAAAAGAAGAAACAAGAUAAAGAGAAUAGAGAAAAAGAGCAACGCCAAACAACCGUUUACCUAGUUCGGUCUAUCAUUGACCUACUUUGGGAAAGAGAUCAAGUUCCUUACAAAGAGAUACAAAAAAGGGUUACAAGAAAUUCGCUUCAACAAGUUCUCCAAGACAAAACCUAAUUUCUACCUUUUUCCCAAUCUCAUUCCAUGAACAAGAGACUCAAUGAUUUCACUCACCAAAGGUGUUUCCCAAUUGUUUUUCAACUCUAGAAUCUAACCCCCCAAAAGAGAACCAAUCCAUAUCCUUUGAUUUCCCAAAAAUAUUCUCUUUUGGUUUUCCAAGACUCACUCAAGUUGCUCGCAAAACUCUCCUUUGAUGUGUUUUCCAAAAGGGUCUUGUUACAAGUGUCCCCGGGACACUCUUUAAGCAUUCCAAAAUUAGUAAUUAUUUUUUAAAAAAGUUAAAUGUUUCGAUUUCCAAUGCAUUGAUUACACACUUUUUUAUAAAUACAUACUACUUAUAGUCCUUAAAGAGUGUCUCAGGGACACUUGUUAACAUUUCCCUUUCCAAAAUUGUGCCCCAAUUUUCCAAUUCAUACACGAUCGAUGCAAGGGAAUGUUAUCCAAAAUCAUACCCCAAUUUUUGUCGAACCAAAACUCCAAUUGAACUUCACAUUGUAUCUUCAAAUAUAUAUUCCAACACUUGUUUCAUCCAUAAUAGCUCACAAAUUCCUAGUGCCAUAACUCUAUAUUUUUCCUCAACGAUUGAUCAAUCAACUACACUUUACUUCUUAUUCCUUCAAGCAAUAAGGUUCUCACACAAUAAUGUACAAUGGUUAGAAGGAAAUCUUCUACUUGCAUGACCCACCCGCAAACCGUACCGGAUCCUCAUGGAAUAUUGCAUAACACUUUAUCGUUCCAACUUAUCACUUGGCUGUAUCAAUUUGUUUGAUAAAGUUUCAUCUGAAGUAUAUACUAUACACACACAAAAAUAAGAAGAAUUUCAAAAUUCAUUCUAAUACUCACAGCACAUUCCUAAAAAAAUAUAUAUAUAUAUAUAUAUACUCAUAGCACAAUAUGUGCCUAAUAUUAAGAAUAAUAACAACAGUUUAAAAGAUCGAACGACAUGUUGUUAAAGCCAAUGAUUUAACAAUUAACACUGAUUUUAACCAUAGAUUUGAACCUGAUUAUGCUCUAUAAAAAAUAAUAAAAUGAACAACACCUUUGUAUUUUGACACAUGUUAUAAACACAUCACUAAAACAGCACAAUCAACUUUCAUUUCGACUCUUUUUUGUUCGCAUCAAAGUUAGCUAGGAAAUAGCAAGCACAAAUGUACUUUUAAUACAAACAAUUAAUGGAGACGGAAAAAUCAAUUGUAGUUUUAUAACCAAUAGAUAGCCAAAUCCUAUCCCAUAAACAUACUCCAUAAUAAACAAACCAACUAUGAAUGAACAUAAGUUAUCUAUUUUAGAAGCAUUCAUCAUCCAAUAUACAUUAUAAUUCAAGCCUUAAAUGCUAACACAUUUAAGCUUCUUUGCCAAAAAAAAUUCAAUCGUUACUUUCUUCACAAUAUAGACCCUUCAAGAACAUCAACUUCUCCGUGGAUAACUCUUUAGAGAUAACACAUGCAAAACAAAACGCGGCAGUUGGAGAGCAAAUAACAAAAAGUGAUGAAGAUAGUAAUGGAGAGCAAGCAUGGAAACUACAACAAAAGUAUAUAUAUAACCAGCCUUCCUUCAUCAUACGUAUAAAUAGGACAAAAUAAUCCUUUUGUAAGUUGGUUUGUGUUUUAGUGGUUCACUUAUUGGUAAAGCACAAUAGCCAUUGGAGGUACUAUCUUGUUCCAAGAUUAAUUUACAUGCUAGAGAAACAAAUAUUGGAGUUCCUAGAAGAAAAAAGAAUACGGCAGUUGAUGUUGAUGUGGGCGUGAAACAUUGAUGGAAUGAAAAUGUGAUAGGCAAGAAUUGGAGUCCCUAGAAAUUAGAGUUCCAAGGUUAGCUUGCAUAAGAGAACGGACGAAAGGAUGGAAUGGAUGAUUAGGAAAGUUGAACAUUCUUGAUGAGGCCAAAGACAUUGAAUACAUAUUGGCGCCUUCCUCGUCUCUAAUAUAUAUGCCAAUACCUACUCGAUUGUCAUUAUUUGAAAAAGAAGCGUUUAUGUUACAUGUUUAAUACAUUUAUUACUAUAUGAUAUGAAUAUCUCUCAUAUUCUUAAAAAAAUAAAAUCUCACAUAUUUAUUUGAUAAUUAUAAAAUAUAUUUUUCAAUUAGUUUUUCUUGUUAAUGUGAAUAUGAUUUGAUAUAUAUUCGGUAAUUAGUUGAAAGCAACAUAUAUAUUAGAAAAUAUGAUGCAAUAAUAUUUUAAAUAAGUUAUAAUUUUAUUAUAUGGUCUAUGAAGCCCAGAUACAUGAUACGAUUCGACACCGAUACGGGAAAAUUUUAAAAUAUAAGAUACAAUACGGCUUGGAUAUACUUCAAUAAAAAAUUAAAUUUAAACUACAUAUUAAAACUCAAAACACAAAAUAUGGACUAAAACUCAAAAGCAAAAAAAUUGGUGCAAAACCCAGACCAAACAAAAUAGAAAAAGGAUAAGGCACAACAAUGAAAUUGCCUUCACACAACAAUCAACAAUUUCAUCGUUCUCAAACAAACAAAGAGAGAUGAAAGAGACGACAACAACAAUAGAAAUAUAAAUGUAACUAAUAUUAAUAAUAAAGAAAGCGAAAAUUAGUCAAUUACAUAUGUGAUAUAUCCUAAAUAGAAAACAUCAUUACUUAGUCAAUUACAUAUAUACCAAAUAUGAUAGAAACAUCAGGUAGCCCGCACAUAUCAGUUUUCCACCUCCUAUCGCUCUUAUCCCAGAUGUAUCUGAAAAGUAUCGCAUAAUUGUUUUUUUAAAAAAAUAAAAUUUCAUAUUCGGAUACUCUCCUGAUACGUAUCGAGAAGUAUCAAGCAUGUAUCAGUGCAAGAUACACAGGGGAUAAUGUUCAUCAUCCAUUUUGAAGUAUCUGGACUUCAGAGUAUAUGGUACAAAAUAUACAUGUGAAUCAAAAAGAAAAUAAUGACGAAGAUUAUGAAGUUUUUGUGUUUUUUAAAUGUGUGAAAUUUUAUUAAUUUUUUUAUAAAAAAAGUUUAUUUAACUUUUAUAUUAUGAAAUUUAUAUCAUCAUAUUUUUUUAUAAAGAUUGGGUUAAUAGUUAUGCGGUCCGAUCAAUGACCAAUUGAUCCAACCAUUGACCUAAUGACCCAGUGUUUUGGCCGAAUCGACUACCGGUUCGGGUUUUUAAAACACCGGAUUCACUGCAAGUAUUGGGUCAUUUACUCAUGUAAUUCAUUGUUGCUGGGAUAACUAACAUAUUUCAGGUCCUCCUCUAUGUCUGACCCGAAUUCCCAUAUAGAGAGAUAUUUUAAAUAGGAACCAAACGCAAGUACUGGACAUAACAAUAUAAGAUAGAACAACACAUCAGAAGGUAGAACAACACAUGACAAAUUUUUAUGGCAUUGAAUAAUUUUUUGUUUUAUACAAUUUUUGGGUACGAAAUGCUAUUUUUGUAUUUUUGACAACCUGUACGUGAGACAAAAAGUUGUGAUGUGGUUUGAUGAGGGACAAAAAUAUCAGCUUUUGUCAUGUCCCUUGCCUCCAGUUUGUCCUGUACAUGAAACAAUUUUACAAAUCAAACACUGGACAACUGAAGUUGUUUUGUCCUAUCCUUUAUUUUUUAGCAAAUCAAAGGCACCCAUUAUAUUAUUUCAGUGUUUUAGCUAUUUCUAUCUCAUAGUGGAUUUUCGAUUUUGCCAAAACCGAAUCAAUUCAUUGUUUAAGAGGACUAUGAUUCAUCUCCUUCAUAGAUGCUUGCAAGUAUUCUUAGUUUUAUGUUCGAAUUAGGGGAUGUUUGGUUUCUUACUAAUCCGCGGUCAAUGUUUGAAUUUCUGUACUAAUACAUCCAUAAAAACUUGAUUUGUUUUGACAUGUGGACAAUAGCAAAAAAGUGUCCUUUUUUUAAGGAAAGCAAAAAAGUUUUUGAACAAGAGGAAAGCAAAAAAGUGCCCUUAGCAUUUAUUAAAGGAAUACAAAUUUUAGAUGGUAUUCUGGUUGCUAAUUAGGUAGUUGAUGAAUCUAAAAAAUUGAAAAAAGAAUUGCUUUUAUUUAAAGUCGACUUUAAGAAAGCAUACAAUUCAGUUGAUUGGAAAUAUUUGGAUGAUAUUAUGGUUACGAUGUUGUUUCCGACUAUUUGGAGGAAAUGAAUGAAAAAAUGUGUUGGGACUGCUACUGCGACUGUUUUAUUGAAUGGUAGUCCCACUGAGAAAUUCACUUUAGCUAGAGGUCUGCGACAGGGAGAUCCCCUUUCACCUUUCUUGUUCCUUCUGGUGGUUGAGGGGUUUCAUGUGAUGAUGGAGUCUAUUGUUAAUACUAAUAAUAUUUUUAGUGAUUACAAAGUAGGGGGUCGGCCAUUAACUAUUUAUAACCCUCAGUUUACGGAUGAUAACUUUGAUUUUGGGGGAAAGAAGUUGGGCUAAUGUUCGAGCUAUGCAUGUCACCCUUCAUCUUUUUGCAGCGAGGUCUGGUUUAAAGGUUAAUUUCCACAAAAGUGAGUUAGUUGGCAUAAACAUUGGUGGGUCUUGGUUAGCUAAAGUUGCGGCGGUUUUGAAUUGUAAGGUUACAACAUUGUUUGUUUUGUAUGUGGGCCUCCCUAUUGAUGGAGAUUCUCGUCGAUUGAAUAUUUGGGAACCGAUGGCUAAUCGUAUUAAGUCCCACCUGUCAAGUUGGAAAAGUAGAAAUUUUUCUUUUCCAUUUGUUUGGACAUGGAAGUUGGUGUUUUGGAGGUUAUGAGAAUCAGAGAGUUUAAUUUAACGUUGUUGGGUAAGUAGUGUUGGAGGCUGGCGGUGAAUUGAAAGGGUCUCUGGUUUAAAGUCUUGGUUGAGAGGUACGGGGUUGUUGGGGGAGGUUGGAGGAGGGUGGUAGGGAUGGAUGAGUGUGGUGGAGGGAGGUAGCAGGCAUCCGUGAUGGCGUAGGUGCGGGUGAAGGAUGCUGGUUCACUGAUAAUUUGCGCAUUAAGGUUGGUAAUGGUGCCACCGCUUUGUUUUGGUUGGAUAUGUGGGUGGGUGAUGUUCCUCUUCGGGACAAGUUUCAUCGUUUAUUUGAUUUAUCAGAAAAUAAAGACUCGCCUAUCGCUCAAAUAUUUUCGUUAGGGUGGGGUGAGGGAGGGGAGGCUUGGAAGUGGAAGAGAAAAUUAUGAGCGUGAGAGGAGGAGAUGGUAGAUGAGUGUAGGGUGUUACUGCUGACUGUUUCUUUGUAGGGUGAUGUUCAUGAUGUUUGGUCUUGGGGUCCUGAUCCAAUUGGUGGGUAUUCGGUCAAUGGUGCAUGAUGUAGGAGGGUUUCCAUAGUAUUUUAUUAUUUCAAUCUAAUUUUAUUAUUGGUUGUUUUGUUUUCAGUUUUUUUUUUGCCCAUUAGGGUUUUGUUAUUUCCCUAGUUAAGCUUUAACAUUGUAGGCCAAAGAGGCAACUUUUAUUCAUUCAAUAAUAUUUUAGAGAGUUUUUCUCAAUUUUUGGUGGAUUAUGGAACCCUAUUUUCACAAGUUCAUCGCUUACAAACUUGUUCCUUUCAAUCUAGGUUUAGCGCUUGCUAGCCUAUCCUUCCGUACUAGUCAGUUGGUAUCAGAGCAGGUUUCUCCUGUUCUUUUCCUAACAUGAUCAGCCAUAGGCCGGGCAGGCCUUGAGGGAGUGCAAGGUGCUCAAUCAAGCCGGGCCUCCAAAAUCUAUGGGCCUCCGAAAAAAUUAACUCUAAUACCCACCCCACUUAAAUAUAAAAAUAUAUAUGUUACUUCUUUACACGUUUGAGUUUCUUCUAGACUUUAGUUCUCCUAUCUGGACAUAAAUUUGGUACUAUCAAACCACUACCAAUUGGUAUAAUGACUUAAUCAGUCAAUUUGAAAAGUUAUUUCAUAGAAAGAAUCACAACAAUCAUUUCUUUUUCACAUAAACCAUUCGUUUUCCCCUUUCCCACAACGGAUAAUUGACAUAUUCAAAUGACACCGUUUGUAAAUUCUACCUCUCUUUCACUUAAUUUUUUUGUAUUUCGUUUCAUGUUUACAAGCUCUUCUGAUUCUGAUUUUUUAAUAAAGCUUAGCUACACAAAAAAAUUACGUUUUUAUUUUAUUGGGGAUCUAUUUUAAAUAGAGAGCCGAGCCUUCUAUUUCAUAGGGACGGCCCUAUAGGUGAUCAAAAUUAAAUGGAAAGUUUAGUCUUCUUUAUCAUUCCCUUCUUUUCAAUUAAAGUUGUCGUCCCUCUAAAUUUCCAUUCCCUAUUUCAAUUGUCGUUCAAGUUAUUAACUUCAUCCAAAGUCCAUUUAUUUCAAGUGCUGCUACAUAUUACUUUCUUUUUUCAAUCGAAUUGCUGGCUGUUGUGUAUCAUAUUUUGCUGGUGGCUGUUUGAAUUGAAUUUGCAUGGUUAGAAAUUCAACAUUAUGUCGUGCCCUUAUAAUCUACCUCCUCCGGUCCUAUAUAUAAGAAACAAUUUACUUUUUUGAUUCAUUGAAUAGUUGAUGUAUUUGGUCUAUUUCUGAACUAGGUACAUCAAUUAUUGAAUGAAUCUAAAAAGUUAACUUUUUCUGAUAAAUAAGACCGGAGGUAGUAUAUGAUUGCCGCAACCAUUCUUCUUUUUAAUUAAAGUUUCCAUCUAAUUAAAUUUAAUCCAACCAUGAGAGAUCAACAGGUCGUGAUUUUAACUGCGGCCAUCAAAGCACUAUCAGAUCAGAUGGCAACGUUGAUAGCUAAGGUUGACGAGAUAAAAAACAGUAACAACAACAGAAAUGAUCCGAACAGAGGAGGAGGAUCAAUUCCGGUUAUUAGGGUUCGUAAUAACAACCAUAUUAUUGUUAUGUAUCGAAAAUUAGAACAUACUCGUGAAGGUGAGAAAAAACACAAGAAGGGGGGGUUGAAUUGUGUUUUCUUUUUCUCUCUAAAAAAUACUUCUUCUGAUAAAAACUUCAGAAGCAGUUUGUGAAUGCUUCUGAUGAAAUGAUCAGAAUCAGAUAUGCAGCGGAAAAGAUCAAAGCAGAGAAAAGAAAAGCAAGACACAAGCAGUUAUCCUGGUUCCUUCCACAAAAUGGAAGUAGUCCAGUCCCCCUUGCACUUCCAAGGAGAUUUCACUAUAAUCACAAAGAUUACAAAUGCUCAAUACUCUCUAAGUAUGAGACUUCUCAAAAAUGCUCAAGCACACACGCAAGAGUCUUCCAAUGCUCAAGCACUAAGCAAGAGUCUUCUAAUGCUCAAGCACGCAGGCAAGAGGCUUCUGAUCAAACAAAAAUACAAUGAAUUAAGUUUGACUUGAACACUUGAUAUACAAUCAGUGGUGUUCACAAUACAAUACAAUAAAGACUCUAGACUUUUGAAUUUCUAAGAUGUAUCAAAUCAGUGCAGAAAUUCAGUGUGCUUUGUAGAAUCAAAUUGACAGAGUUUUGGCGCUUUUUAACUUGUGUAUCUCUAUCUACAAUCUUCAAGUCUUCACUCCUUUAUAUAGAGGCGUGAAAGAGACGUUGAGAUAAUUAGCACGUCUAAAGAGUCGUUUGAAAUCCUUUGAUCAUUCACCAGUAAUCCUUUGCCUGAUUUGGGUGUAGUCCUUUGAAGAAUUAGCUUCAAAUUCAUUCCCAUCUUGAAGGCACAAAUUCUGCAGGCAUAGCUGUUGUCUUGUCUUGUAGCGUGGACAAAACAGAGUAGUGGAGGUAGUGGUUGUACACUUGUACUUUGUCAACUCUGUUAACGAAGGACAAAUACUCAGUGCUAUCCAAAUGACCGUUGAUACCUCCCUUUCAAUUCUUCGUUCUUCUUAGAUAAUGUUGAAAUGAGAAACAGCUACUUUGGAUCUUCAGUUUGAAUUUACGGAUAAAAUGUAGCUUCUGGUGAUGAUAUCGCUUCUGAUGAAAACCUUGCUUCUGAUGAGCUUCUGCUUCUGAUGACGUCAUCACUUCAGAUGCACUUCAGCUUCAGGAGCACUUCAAGCUUCAGACGCAGUUUUCUUCAGAUGCUAUGAAUUCCUUUGCUUUCCAUUGUUCUUCCAAGACCUAUUGAAAUUACUUGACUAGCAUUUGGUCCUGUAUACUUGAACAAUAAUUAGAAAUAACCAAUUGACAAUUUUUAAUACCUUGUUAUCAUCAAAACUCAUUAAGGUUCAUUGUAAAACACAUUUUGUUCCAACAACUCGUGAAUCUGAACAAGUUGAAGGAUGAUCAUUACGAGUUUAAAAUCUCCGAUUCGAUAUAUCGUUGUCCGUUUUGUUACAACAAGGAUUCCUUGACCGACCUUUUGAGACAUGCUUUUAGAAUUGCAGGUAACUUGCGUAAGACGGUUAAAGAUAUUGCCAAACAUUCAGUUUUGAUAACAUACAUUCUAAGGUAUCAUAAUGUUAAUGUUGAUAAAAAUAAGCCACUUGAUGUUAAUAUUGCUAGUGAUAGCCACUUGGUGUCGGUAUUGCUAGCGGUAAGCCAGUUAAUUUGAGUGUCGUUGAUCAGAAGUCGCUUGGUAUGAAUGUAACUAAGUGUCAGCUAGCGAACGUGAAUGUUGUUGAUAGUUUUGUUGCCACAAUGGAAGAAUACAUUAAGGAAUCCACCAAUGAGAAGAUUUGUACAACAUAUUUCUCUAAUAAGAAGCCGCGGUUAUCCUCCGAUGCAUGCUCAGAGAUGCCAGAAAUAAUUAUCACCGAAAUUGAGAGUACGAUGGAUGUUAAUCCUCCAGAAUCUGCUGCGAUAAUCAUCCAGGCUUCAAUUAGAGGAUAUUUAGUUCGGAGAGCACUUCUAAAGAGUAAGAAUGUAGUGAAGUUGCAAGCUGUUGUUCGCGUUCACUUGGUUAGAAGGCAUGAUGUUGGAGCAUCGCGAUGUAUUCAAGCUAUUACUAAAAUGCAAGCUCUGUUUUCAGUUCCGAAUCACAAUUCAACAAUGGGAUUAGGAGUCAAUAUUGCAAGAAUGAAAGGGGGUGAAAUUUAAGGAAGAUGAUUCCCAGAGUAUUGACUGUGAAAUAGUGGAGAAAAUGGAAGCUCGAUAAGUGCCAUAAUGGUUAUUCGUGAAAUAGAUGAUGGUCAAUAUUUGAUGCUUCGGAAUAUGUUACCUCUGAUGUGAUUCAAACACCACUUGAAGUUUUCAAAAGCAUGGAAGCUGAUGGGUUUCCCAUUAAGCGUGGUCGUGUACCCAUCACCUAUGCACCUGAUAUUUUGGAAAAUAAUAUUUUGCUUCUGCCAAAGAAUCUGAGCGUUAUGAAUGUCACCAAACCAGAGUUCACCAAAGAUCAAAAUGUAUAUCCUAAUCAAAGCACAAAACUCUAAUGGGAUGAGAAAUGGAAAUAGUUUUGAUGCUGGAACAGUUCAUACUACUAGUUUGGACAUAACUUCUUUGAAUUUCAUUCAAUGGGAUCGUGGAGGGUGGUCGCUUUGUUCAUUGGAGGAGUCAACAUUCAUGGGAAGCUCUUUAUCAGAAUAAGAACUCGGGCUCGAGUUCUUCAGAGGUGGAGGAGACUCAUGCACAAGAGUUUCCAUAGUAUUUCAACCUAAUUUUAUCAUUUGUUUGUUUUGUUUUCAGUUUGUUAUUUUUGGCCCAUUAGGGUUUUGUUAUUUUCCUAUUUAAGCUUAAUAGUUGUAGCCUAAGAGACAACUUUUAUUAAUUCAAUAAUAUUUUAUAGAGUUUUCUCAAUUUCUGGUGGAUUCCGGAACCCUAUUUUAACAAGUUUAUCGCUUGCAAACUUGUUUCUUUUCAAUCUAGGUUUAACGCUUGCUAGCCUCCGCUUCCGACUGCGUCAAUGCAUACCGUAUUCUGACUGACGCGAACUCCCUCCACACUUUCAUUCCAUCAGACUUAUUGUGGAGAAAGGAGUUCACGUUGAAGGUCUCAGUGUUUGCUUGGCGACUAUUUCAGAAUAGAUUAUCAACAAAGGGGAAUUUAUUUUGUCGCGAGAUCAUACCUCAUGAGUCUCAAUUAUGUGUUAGUGUUUGCGGUAAGGAGGAAACAACCCAACUUUUAUAUUUAGGUUGCAUAAUGUUUGGUUCUAUUUGGAAACUUGUUCGAAAUUGUCUUGGAGUUCAUUUGGUCGAUCCGUUGAAUAUUGUUGAUCCGUUGAAUCACGUCGGUCAUUUAUGUUCUUGAUUUGGUUUGCGACUUUUUGAUCGAUUUGGAAGGAAAGAAACAUCAUGAUUUUCGAUGGCAAAGAAAAUGCUAUAUAUAUAUAUAUAUAUAUAUAUAUAUAUCUUUUUGAUAUCUUAAAGCAAAAGGAAAAAAGGGUCCUUAGCCAAUCUUUUAAGAAAAAAUAAAAUAGGGCUUAAAUAAAUUUUUGAUUGCAUAAAAUUUUGCAUUUAGUUCCUCUAAAAUUGAAAUUCUUAAAACUAAUGAAUAAAUUUAUUUUGUAUUUGGGGUUUAGGGUGUCACAUAGAUAAUUAUAUACGAGGUUUUUUUUAAAGGAAUUUAUAUAUAAGGUUAUAAUUGCACCAACAACAUAUUUUUCACCCGGAAAAAAGAGAGAAAGAAAAGGUUGUAAUUACAUGUUAUUAAAAAAAGAUAACAAUUUAUUUAUGGAAUUUUUUCCUAACUACUUUCUAGAUAAACGUAAUACUUUUUUUUUAUUUUUUUAUUUUGACCGUACUUUCUAGAAAAACGUAAUUUUUUUUUUAUUUUGAUCGGAAAAAUCAUAAUACUAAUUAUUUACAUUAAUUUUAUACGAUUGAGUCAAACAAAAAUUUAUUGCAUGUUUCCUUGAGAGAGGUAUAUAUAUAGCACAAUGGAGGUCAUAUUCAUCUCAAACAAAACAUUCAAUUAAAUAAUAUAUUACUAAAAAAAUGAAGUUCUCACACUACAGAAGAGUUUCAAUCAACCCUCUUAGUUAAUGUAUUUCGAUUGUAGUUCAAAAUUAUUUGUUGUAGUCUUGUAUUAAUUUUUUAUGUUUUUUUUUCUUCAGAUUAUACAUCAAAAAAAUCUCAUGGCGUUCGCUUCCUCGUCGCUAGCUGAAAAGAAGAAGGUUAUGUUCGUAAUGGGUGCAACAUACAUCGGAAAAACUAUACUUUUCAUCUACUUAGGUACUCAUUUCCUCUAUGAAAUCAUCAAUUCAAAUAAAAUUCAAAUUUAUAAAGAUCUUGACUUGACACCAACUUAGUACCAAAAUCUGAACGUUGUUCGAUUUUCACAUCACGUUAUGCAUCAUCAAUGAUCCUGAUAUGAUUUCAUUGUGAUUAAUUUUUUGCAAACACAUGCUUGAAACUCUAUAUUUAUAGGUGAAAAUUGACACCUAACCAUUAUUGUAAGAGGGUCACAUUCUUACAUUGAAAUAUUAGUUGAUUACCCAAUCAUUGAAUUUUGUUCAAAAUAAUAUUGUUGUUUUAUUUAGCUUGAUGCUUCUUUGCCUCGUUUGAUUUAAUAUUUAUACAAAAGAGGAGACCAAAUGGUUGAGGCAGAGAUUGUGGAUGAAAUUAGAGAAAAGGAAAAAUUGGAUUCCUAAGCUUGAUUGUUAUUUUGAGAUUGAAAAGGAAAAAUCUCUAAUCUUGUACACAAGACCUGCCUCGACCACUUGAUAAACUCUUUUGUCUACGUAUUGAAACAAAAUAGGCAAAUAAACAUCUAGCCAAAUGAAACAACAUUAAAUCUUUAAACAAAAUGUAAUAAUUGCAUCAUCAACUAAUAUUUAUAAGUGAGAAUUUUCCCUCCUAUAAUAAUGUCUAGGUAACAAUUUUCAACUCUGAAAUAUAAAGCUUCAAACAUGUGUUUUCAAAAAUCAAGCACAGUAAAAUCAUAAUCAGAAUUAUUGGUGAUACCUAAUAUGUGAUGUGGAAUCGAACAAUGUUUAUAUUCAGAUACCUUGUUUGUGACAAGUCAAGAUCCUUAUAGACUUAAAUUUUAUCUGAGUUGAUGAUUUCAUAGAGGAAUCGAGUAUCUAAGUAGAUGGUAAAUUUAUUUUUUCCAAUUCCAGUUGCUUCCAUUAUGAACAAAACCUUAUUCUUUUCAGCUAGUAUUGAGGAACAAAAAACCAUGUUUUUUUUUUUUUUUUUUAUGUAUAACCUAAGGAAAUGACAAUAAUAAAAAUAAUUAAAAACUACAACAAAUGAUUUUGGACUAGAAUCGAAAUGGAUUAAUCUUAUACAUGUUGUCAAUAAGGAUACUAGUUAUAUGAAGAAGAGAAUCAAUUGAAACUUUAUUUGUGCUAUAUAUAAUGAUUUAUGAUAUAUGGAGAGAGGGACGGCUGAAUAUGCAAAUUUGGAAUCAAUUUUGGAGAUUCAUGGAGGGCGGGUUUAUCAUCUUGGGUGUCGUAGGGGUGGCUGAGGUUCUAGGGCUACCCAAUAGUUUUAUGAUGUUGUUGUAGUAUUUUGAACAAAUUUGAUUUUUUUAUUUUAUGUUUGAAUAUUGGGUGUUUGUAACAUAUGGAUAAUUUGUUUUUAAUUUUAUGUUUGAAAUUGUGUUGUUUUUGAUCAUUUUCAUUAUAGUAUUUAUUUAUUUAUUCACGAAUGCAUGUUUAUAUCAAAAGAUUAUAUAAUCUGUAUGUAUCAGAGUGAAAAAAACUCUGUUUUUGUUAUGAUACCUUUCAGAUUAUAUAAUAUGAAAUGUCAUAAAACAAUUCGGAUUAUAUAAUCUAAAAUAUGCCUCUUGUGGGUUGUGGGGUGUUUGACACUUUUCGGAUUAUUUAAGCCAAAUUAUUUUAAGAAGUUUCGGAUUAUAUAAUCCAAAACGUAUGUUUAACUGAGACCUACACAAACAUCUCUAGGGUGCUUUGUCUUCCAAUAGUUUUUAUACUGAUUGGAUUAUAUAAUCCGAACCUAAGGUAUUUUGAGAAAAAAAAUAGGGCGCUCAAGAACCAAAUAGGGUGGAAAAAGUAAUGGCUAAUAUUGAUUGCCCCAGUAAGGAGCCAGAGCCUGAAAAAAGUACCAUACAUGAUUGAUAUUUGUGGAGGCAUUAAUAGUCACAAAACUACACGUGGCAAUUUCAUAUUGGUGGCUAAUGAUAAGGCUAGCACAAAAAUUUCCAUUCCUGUGUGGUUGAUAUGGCAGCAAAGUUUAUCAUAUUCACAACCAACAAAAUGGUAUUAUGAAGCAUUACCACAAUUUAUAAGACCAUAAUAUUGGAAAUAGAAAAUUAAAAAUAGUAUAUAUAUAAGUUUGAGUAUAGGUUUUGCAAUUCAAGCAGAAGUAUAUCUUACUAGUGAACUAAGGGAGAAAAACAUGGCUUCCUCUAUGAUGUCCUCUUCAGCUGUGACUACAGUUAACCGUGCCUCUUCGGUACAAUCCGGUGCGGUGGCUCCAUUCGUCGGACUCAAGUCCAUGGCUGGCUUCCCAAUUACAAAGGUCAACAAAGACAUUACCUCCAUUACAAGCAAUGGCGGAAGAGUAAACUGCAUGCAGGUGAGAAAAAACAUGCCUACUAUUUUAGUUUAUUUGAGUUUGUUAUUAGCAUAAUCGAAACAAUUUAUGACAUGUCCGUAAACUGUUUUCAUCUUAUAUUUUCAUAAGCCCUUCAAGAUAGUUUAUGAAAACAGGUUAUAGACUAUAUGAAAAAAGUUUGACUUUAAUUUAUCUUUUGUCAUAAAAAUAACUUUUACAUAUUUAGAGAUUCGUUGAAAAAUGCACACAAGUUUGUUAACCAUUUUGUGCAAUUUUAGGUGUGGCCUCCUAUUGGCAAGAAGAAGUUUGAGACUCUUUCAUAUCUUCCACCAUUGACCAGAGAACAAUUGGCGAAAGAAGUUGAAUACCUUAUAAGGAAGGGAUGGGUUGCUUGCUUGGAAUUUGAGACCGAGGUCUAAUAUUACUUGCAAUAUCUUCUCAAUAUUUAUAAUCGUUGUUUUGUCACGGCCAAGGUCACAGUCACAAAUUUGUAUUUAAAACCCUUUUAAUUUGUGUGUGGCCGAUGUGGCCUCAAUUGCUGUCGAACUGCGGUUUCAAUAACAUCAAAAACCGUUAUGUCGCGACCCUGAUCGUGGUCACGGACCUUUAUUUAAAAUCCAUUUGAGUUUUGAUGGUUAACAUAUGUUUGUUUUGACUUCUACUUGCUUACUUGCAGAAAGGAUUUGUGUACCGUGAGAACCACAGUUCACCAGGAUACUAUGACGGACGUUACUGGACAAUGUGGAAGUUGCCUUUGUUUGGAGCAACUGAUGCUUCUCAAGUGUUGAAGGAGCUUGAUGAAGUUGUUGUUGCUUACCCUAAUGCCUUUGUCCGUAUCAUCGGAUUCGACAACGUUCGUCAAGUUCAAUGCAUCAGUUUCAUUGCACACACACCUGAAGUUUACUAAAUUUGAGUGUUAAAUCACUCUUGGCUACCAUUGGAGGAACAUUUUUUUCGCUCUAUUUGUUCUGUUUGUAAUUUCCUUUUAUUUUUUUAAGGAAAUGUCGUACUGUGUUUUUCAGUUUUACCUUUCGGAUUUUAAAAUGCAAAUGGAUGGAUAAGAGUUGAUAAAUGAAAUGGCACUUCUAUUGAUUCUCAAAUUAAUAUUAUCUAUUGUUUUUAUGAGGUUAUUAGGCAAACUUUUACCAUUGCAUUCCAAAAAGUCUCAAAGCCAUUCGUGGUCUGAAAAUCAUCUUCAGACGCUAAAUAUCAGGCCUCUUACCUUCUACUGUUUGCAAUGGCUUACAUACCUUCAGUAUGAUUCCCAUUUACUUUUCAUUUUCCAAUCUUUAUUAUACCGUUGAUGGCCGGUCUGCUCACUACAUCGCAUCCAAUUCUUCCCUCUAUGAACGAACAAAACACAUCGAAAUUGACCGUCUUGUUAGGGAAAAGGCCUCAAUCGAAGUUGUUUCAUCUACUGCUUAUUUUCAUAGUUGAUCAUUUCCCAAGCUGAAAAUGCUAAAUGAUCAUAUACAAGAUUGUGACUGCACAAGUCCCAUCUUUUUCGGGACACUUAAUGAUUUCUUUUACCAUUUUUUAAUCCUAUAAUAAAGUUUGCAUGGUAAAGGUUAGGGGCACAAACAGAUUAAACAGUCUUGGUUUGAUUUUAUAUAAAAUAAUUUUUUUUAAAUACUUGAUUAUGAACUGAUUAUAAUAAUUUUGCUGUGAAAUAAAAAUGCAGGAUGAUAAUAAUUUUAAUGAUUAUGAAGGGAACAUUUUCUCAACUUACAUUGACAUCCAAAAUAAAAGAGAGGACCUGUUGAGAAUAAUAUGUAUAUAUCCUUAGAAGAUUAUAAAUGUAAAUUUAAAUAUAUUUAAAAUAAGAUAUCAUUAAGAUAUAACUAAUCAUUAUUGGUUGUAUUACAUUACAUCCUUUAACAGCAGCGCUAGCAUUGGAUAUUGAUCCAAGUACAAUGUGAGUGUUAGCAGAGCCGUUGUAAGACCCACGCGUGUCCGGCGGUUACGAAAUUAUAGGAAGUGUAAUCGUCGGGGAGAGAUUCGCGGAAACAUGGGAAAGAGACGUUACAGUUCGUUUGAACCGGUCUCUGUUGCUCCGAGUACUCCCUCGCGGGGAAGGAGAGUGUUGCGAGUAAUAGUACCAAAUGCAGUAUUUGGGUUGUAAUUGUUAUUGGGCCUAAGCAAUUGGGCCUUAGGUGUUUGGCCGGUCCAAAACACUAACAAAUCCAAAACUCUUUUAAAACUAGACUAUUACUUUUACCACCCUCCUCUGUGAAGCCUAAUCAGAUUUACUUUAUAUGUUUUUGAUGAUGUUCUUUAGCUUAGUUUAUCGUUUUAAUAAUUGCCUUAUGGCUAGCAUGUUAUAGCAUCCAUCAUCUAUGUGUCUUGAUCUAGGAUUUACUUGCGUCUUGUGCAAAAGUGUCAUUGUUCAUCUUUUGGCAUAUUGAAUCGAUUCAUCACUAUCAAUUACACUCAAUCAAUUCAUUUGAAGGUUGAAUCAUAUCAUUCUUCAUCCUUGACUCACUUAAAUCGAUUCACUUAUGCAUUGAAUCGUUUCAUCCUUCAUGCGUUCUUGGGUUGUCUUUUGCUAUCUGAAUCGAUUCACUCAUUUAGUGAAUCGAUUCACCAUGUUGAUUUUGUGCGAAAAUUUUGUCUUGUCACUUUUCUCUAUAUAGAGUCUUCCCUUCAUAUCUCUCAAUUUAUUGAAUCAUUUGCAACUAUUCUCUCUAGGCCUCAAAAACUCUUUGCACAUAAAUUCUUCAAGAUUAAACACUUUUUCUUAGAAUCAUUUGUUCUUUGAGUUGCAUUGAUUUGUUAGGGUACUAGUAGGGAUUGUAAGUUUGUUCUUUCAAGAAAAUUGAUUGGGCUUAAUCAAGGUUUUAAAGUGAAGUGAAUAAUCUCAUUCCACCUCCAAACGACUUGGGGGUCUUUCUAACCGUUCUUGAAGUCCAAGGGGAUUCGCUUACCAGACGUAGCAUUGAAGGCUCAACUGAAGAGUUCGAAGGGGUGCACGGGUAUUCAAGGAUUCAAAGAUUCAAGGAGCACCAAAUUCAAAGGUUAUUUGAAGUUUGGGAGAAUGUUUGCAUAGGGGUUGAAGAAUUAGGUUUAAUUUCAAGGAACUCUUGUAAACACAUUGUAUUUAACAUUUGUUACAUAGUGGAUGACCUUGGUGAAGGCGUACUUCAUCAAGAAGAGUAGACGUAGCUCUAGAGAUGACAAGAAAGAGCAAACUACAAUAAAAAUAUUGGUGUUAUCUCUCUUCCCCUAUCACCUUUACUUUUUACUAUUGCAUGUGAUUAAUUGAAUAGUUGUUAGGAUAAUUGCUAGUGUUGAUCUAAGUUGUUUUUCAUCAAAAGAUAAUCUAAUUCAUUGAAUUAGGUUUUACCUAAUUUGCUUAGAUCAAUUGAUUGCAACAUCUAUUCAAUUCUUCAGUUUCAUAUGCAUUGUGUUUUCAAUUGAUAGCUUAGCAAUUCUGUCCAUAUAGGUUUGGUUUGAAAUUGUCUAAAUGUUUUGUAUAUUGUUCAAGGUUUAUUAAAGUUUGAUUGUAUAUAAUAUUUGUAUCAUGAAUCUCUGAAUUCUAGAUAAAAUCGUAUCUCACAUAGAUUUAUCUUUUUGUAAAUUGUUGUGAUUGUUUCCGCACGAUUUCAAUAGUCAAUUUCGUUAAACUCCCUUUUUAUUAACUCCGGAAAAACUCCCCCCUCCCCCCCCCCCCCCCCCCCAGCUUAAAAACUAAUUAGCCAUAUAGACCAACACUCUAUUCUAGCACGCCCUGCUAAAAAGACAGAGAUACCUUUGGUCCUGAUUAUAUAAUCUGAACCAGAUCGUUGGAGUUUUUCGGUUUACAAAAUCCGGUCAAUUUCAAAAUGUGAUUUUUGGUGUUUUCUUUGAAGUCAAAGGUCUCUGUUGACCGUUAUAUAACCCCCGCAUAAGCUGCAAAGCAAUUGUUGGGUGAAGUGAAGAAUGAAGAAAUUUGUUGAAGAUGGAAGCCUAUUUAUAGCCUAAAAUAAGUCAUAUGUCAUAAGUACAGUCAAUGAAAACGUGUUUGUGGUGCUAACCAUCCAAAAAUGCAUUAAUGGCUCCACUAACCAGCCAAACCUUUGGUGAAACGCCACCGUCCAAAAGAAACUGAGGGUUUUCGAAUUAUAUAAUCUGAAAAUGACAAAAAGAUUCCAGAUUAUAUAAUUCGAACAACAUCAGAAUGCCUAUUUGGAGGGUUUUUUUUAGAGAGAUUUUUUGGAAUAUGACAUAAAAUAAUUAAUAAAUGGAUAAAAAAAACAAGUAAGCAGUAGAAAACAACAUAAACAACAAAAUAUUUUAGGAUAGUGUUCUAAGUGGUGCUUUUGAACUCGAUCUAGCUGGCCUGCCAACUGACAUAUUUCUAUCGGAAGGCCAACUGGAUCGAGCUCAUAAAAACCUUUUCGGAUUCUAAUCUGCAACAUAACGUUGAAAGACAAGGUGUUUCCAGAGGAUAGUUUUGAGUUAGAUCCGGCUGCCUUUCCAAUUGAGAUAUUUAUAUCGCAUAGGCAGAACAAUCUAGCUCAUAGCAACCUCUUGGUAUUCAAAUAGAGAGCAACAUCUUUGUAUCUAUCUAUAUAUUUUUGACAACAUGCUGAAGAUCUACAUAAUGAUGUCAAAUAAAGAGCUAUCUAUUUGAGACAACAUUAGGUAGAUCCUCGGCGCAAUGACAAAAAAUUCAUGGUUUCUUUGGUGUGUUUGGUUGUAAUUUUGACAGCAUGCUGAAGAUCUUCAUCACGCAGUCAAAUAGAGAGCUAUCUAUUUGUGAUCGUGAGAGAAAGAUCAUAUGUUUAAUGACAAAAAUUUGCAUGGUUUUCUUUGGUGUGUUUGUGUGUUUGGUUGGAAAUGAAGAUGAAAACCGGAAAUACUUAUUUAUACAGGUCUCUGGACAUUUUGGACCAUAGAAACUGUCGGUGCAUUGUGAUUCAUACAAAAGAAUCCUAUCUGAAGGAAUUCGGAUUAUGUAAUUUGAAUUGCACUUACAGCCUAUAAAAUUGAUUUGAAUUCGGAUUAUUUUAGCAUUUAACUAAACAUAUUUGACGUAAAGUAACACAUAAUGAAAAUUUAGAUAAUAUAUAUAUUAUUUAAAACAUAAUAAAACAUCUUAGUUGAACAAAAUAUAACUUACACGUAAUUAAAUAAAACAUAAAACACGUAACUAAAUAAAAAAUAGUACAUCAUCAUAGAUCAUUUAAACUAAUGUCUUCGUCUGGUGCAUCCAUUAAUUAGUUCCCUGAUCUCUUCGUAGUUCCUGGGCCGGAUCAAAAUUUGUUGAAUAUGUUAAACAAAUCUAACCAACGAAGCAUCCAACUUGAUUGGUCCUCUAGUACUGUACUGACCAAAGAUCGAGAACAUGGUUCUCACCUCGUCAUCUUUUUUGAGCUUCAUCCUGCUGAACUACACACUCCCGGCUAAGUCGGUCGAUGGACAUCGAUACUCUACAUCAUCCACUGAUGUAGUAUUUUUGCAUCAAACAAUUGUAAGUAUUUAUAUCGUCUCCUCAGGGACUAGUGCGAUAUCGCGGACCGUUCGACACCAAAUAUCAUUUCAAGUUAAACGAUAGUUGAUUGUUUGUUUUAGUAACUGAAUUGCAAAUGAUACAAUUGAGAUUAAUAGGGCGUAAAACUUGUUAGGAUUAGAGUUCCUUGAUCGAGCGUCGCACGUAACCUAAUGAGCAUACAUGGAUUCUAGCUUGUCUUUGAUAUUAUCACGUAUCCCUCGACAACACCAUUCGUGUCCAAACAAUAUUGUGAAAUCAAUUGUAUCAUUCAAUGGUCGAUGUCUCAAACUAUUGAAUGAUUCAAGAGUCGAUCUUAUCGUUCAAUCGAUGAUUUCUCAAUCUAUUAAAUGAUAAGAAAGCUUUAGGUUUGGAUACUCAAGGUGAUUAUCAAAACAUCGAUUCCAUGUCUAGAAACUAUGUUUUGAUAGAUGGUUAUUCUAAACCUAGAUUCAAAAGUAUUUCUCAAUCACAAUUAAAUCAAAGAUAAAGAUUAAAGUGCAAGAAUAACCUCAAUAUCAAUUCAAAUGCUAGAACCAUAUAUUUAUAGAUCAAACGAUUACAUGUUAAACUAUGAUCAAGUACCUCUAAUCCCAACAAAGGAGAUUUAGCUACUCAUUGUCAUGGAAGCCUUGCAAGAAUGAAUUGAAGAAGCAAGAUUCAUUACAACUUGUGAUGUCUCAACAAAGGAUGAAGAAUCCACUCUCUAUCACUCUCACUCUAUAAAGCACAAGCCCUAUCUCUCUCUCUCUAAGAAUAUUACAAGUGAAAACACAGAGAGAAACUAAGUGAAAAACUAUGUAAAAACUAUCUCCCUCUGAAAUGGUUGAGUGGGCUAUUUAUAGAAUUCUGAGUCUGCCUUCACUCGCCUCGCGAGCUGCUUCAUUCGCCAUGGCGAGUUGAAGUUUCUUCCCCAUUGGGUUUGUGCCACGUCAGCAUUUAGAGGCUAAACCGCCCUUACUCGCCUCGCGAGUCCUUCCAUUCGCCAUGGCGAGUAAGCUCGCCUUCUACUCGCCAUUGCGAGUUGGUGGCGUGUGAUCUUUGUUGCAUUCUGGAAUUGCUCGCCUUUGCUGCUUGCCAUGGCGAGUUGGAGGCGAGUGAUCUCCUUUUUCUGCCUUUUUGUACUUUUCUCGAUUUUCUUCUCUUUGCUUGAUGUCUUGAGUUCGAAUCCUGCACAAAUGGGUGAAGUAAGAUAGAUAAAGCGUAAAAGGGCAAUAAUCACUUAUUUCUCGGCUUUUCCCUUAAUAACUUGCAAAACAAGUAACAAAAGUGCCUAAAAUAUAUCACUUAAAUUACAACUUUCUAGCACUUAUCAUCCACCCUCCGUGUGUCUUUGUAGUUGAGUUUGAGGUUAAUUUGAUUCAGCCGACUCUUCAACCCGGAGAGGGUGAGAUCAGUGGGAAUCUUGAACAAAUGGGAUGGUUUCCCCUCGUUGUAGUAAACUACGGCUAGCUUGGUGUUCGGAUCAAAGACAGAGUUUUCCAUGGUUUUUUUGUGUGUGUAGUUUCUGGUUAUGAACACAGAGACACCUAUUUAUAGAGGUCCAUGGGCGUCCUGGACCAUAGAAAUUGUCGGUGCAAUGUGGACCACAUGAAAAAAAAUCAUGUUUCAGAUUGUAUAAUUCGAAAUGUCCCUCACCCCACAGAAGGUGGGCAGUUUCCUUUAAUUUUGCCCAGUAUCCUAAAAAUUCGGAUUAUAUAAUCCGGAAACCAUGGGAAGUUUUUGGAUUAUAUAAUCUGAACUGUGUCAGUUUCUUUUGGACGGUGGUCUGCACCACAAGAAACACGUUUUCAAUGGUUUUUACCAGCAUUAAUGGCUGAUAAAAGUCCUUUGAAACACAUUUUUGACUCACCAUUAAGUUUGUAAUUGCACCAACAACCCAUUUUUAACCUGAAAAAUAA
rnacentral:lncRNA from 1 species